UGUUGGUCCACGCGGCCGUCAGGAAGGUUGAAUUUAGUCGCUCUCUUUCUGCGCCUACAUCACUUAACUCGGACUGAAAACAGUGACGAAAUCGGAAAAUUAUUCGAUAACGAACCCUGAUAAACGUAGAAAUACUUUGAGCGCUUUUGAAGGAACAGUCACCAUUUUGCUGCGGGAAAGAAAAAGAGCACAAAUAACUAAACAUAGAAAGAGAGAGAGAGAAAGUAAAAAACAAGUGCCAAGAUCACCACAGAUUAACAAAGAAUAAAGUGAUAUAUAAGCAUAAAGGAGAGACUGACAGACCGACAAAGAAGGAGAAA